UUAACAAUGUUUGCUCUGAAAGGUGAGAUUUUUGUUUCCUAAUAUUUAUUUUCCUUUUUGAUUCCUAUAUAUAUAUAGUUACAGUUCGGUUAGUUUGGACUUUCUGUUUGCUUCCUUUUCCCGUUGUCAUGGUUAUUGAUUUGAUUUCAUCAUGUUCACCUGUGUCUUGUUAAUUAUCCUUGUUUGGUCGAUCUAUGUAAAUUUGUGCAGUUUGAGUUUGUCAGGUCUUGAGUUAACUCUGAUGUUUAUUUGUCACUGCCCUUUCCUUUUCUGGAUUUACCUGUGCAGAUUUAUUAAAGACGCUCAGCCUUCAUCUUUGUGUGUGUGUGCGUUCAUCAACACAGAUCUUUACAGAAGACCCAACUGAAAAGGGGAACCACUCCCUUGAGGAAUGCCUGGAGGAAUUCCUCGGUCAAGCCCAUCUGACCACCUUCCCGGACAAAUGCUUGAGCAUGUUUUUGCACGCCGGACGAAAACCACCACAGGUGCACAGUUGUCCGGGGAGGGUCCUUGAGGGAGUUUGGCAGACUAUGUUGAGUGGGUGCUGGUGUCAUGUGGAUGCCCAGCCAGCCAUUUCCCCACUACGUGCAGCAUCAGCUAGAGCCCACAGCAGAUGGAGACCAUAGCAUGCCAUGACCAACGAGCCAUUGUCAAGGAGUUACAGAGCUACACCAACGCUGAGGGUGAGCUAAGGCAGUACUCGGGAGAUUUAAUAGACUUUUGCUCAGAAAUACUCCGUCUUCAUCUGUCAUCAUUUGAACUGUUAGGAUGUACUCCCACUAGGUGUUCUGAACCAUGCCCGAGUGUGUUUGACCCCCAAAGCCUGGUGCGCCUGACUUGUGUGAGCGUUCCGUGCCGCACUCAGGCGUGGUUCAUUUAGCCGGCCCUGGCCCAGUUAGAAGAGGUGGGCAGGGCACGGUUUGGUUGGGUUUGGGCGCAGUGCACAUGCAGUGUGAGCGCUAACCGUGCCAGAGCACGGAACAGAUACCAUUUUGUGUGCGUUACUGUCAUUAUGACCGCAAACAUAUUAUUACAACUACUACACUACACUUUUCAAUAGUGGUCAUGGUUAUUGAUUUUGUCAUUGUUCAGCUGUGUCUUGUUAAUGAUCUCUGUUUGGUCGGUCUAUUUAAAUUGAUGUCUGUGCAGUCUGAGUUUGUCAGGUCUUGAGUUAUCUCUGUGUAUGUGUCACCCGCCUUCCCUUUCUGGAUUUACCUUUUGCAUAUUUAUUAAAGACUGUCAGCCUUCA